rnacentral:rRNA from 1 species
CGCGGUAUUUUGACCGUGCGAAGGUAGCAUAAUCAUUAGUCUUUUAAUUGAAGGCUUGUAUGAAGGGUUAGACGAGAAAUUAGCUGUCUUUAUUAAAAAAAUGGAAUUUAACUUUUAAGUGAGAGGGCUUAAAUGUUCUAAAGGGACGAUAAGACCCUAUAAAGUUUGAUAUUUAAUUUUUUAAAAAAUAAGAUAAAUAGAUAAAGUUAAUUAGAAAAAAGAUGUUUUGUUGGGGCGACAAGAAUAUAAUUUAUAUAACUGUUUUUAUAUCAAUACAAUAAUGAUUGAAUUAGUGAACCUUUAUAAAGGUAACAGAGUAAAUUACUUUAGGGAUAACAGCGUAAUUUUUUUUGAGAGUUCUUAUCGACAAAAAAGUUUGCGACCUCGAUGUUGAAUUAAAGGUUCUUUGUAACGUAGAAGUUACAUGAGGGGGUCUGUUCGA